ACGGUGUUCCGCUGUAAUGGAAAGAGCUUGCAAGAGCAUCUG
rfam:Bacillus gobiensis strain FJAT-4402 chromosome.